rnacentral:rRNA from 1 species
CGCCUGUUUAUCAAAAACAUGUUCUUUAGAUUUUUUAAAGGUUUAACCAGCUCUAUGAUGAUUUAAAUGGCCGCGGUAUUUUAACUGUGCUAAGGUAGCAUAAUAAUUAGUCUCUUAAUUAGGGUCUUGAAUGAAUGGUUGGACGAGAAAAUAACUUUAUUAAAAUAAAUUUUUCUUAAUUUAAUAUUUUUGUUAAAAAGCUAAAAUGAUUAAGUGGGACGAUAAGACCCUGUAGAUCUUUAUAAUUAAUUAAUAUAAAAUUUUUGGUUGUAUUAUUUUUUUUUUUAGUUAAUUAUUUUGUUGGGGUGACAAAUAAAUUUUUUAACUUUUUUUAUUAUAUACAUUAUUUUUUGGUUUUUUGAUCCUUAAUUUUGAUUAAAAGAAAAAGAUACCUCAGGGAUAACAGCGUUAUACAUUUGGAAAGUUCAUAUUGAUAAAUGUGUUUGCGACCUCGAUGUUGAAUUAAGUUUUAAUUGUGGAGCAGAAUAUACAAUAUUAGGUCUGUUCGACUUUAAAAAUUUACAUGAUCUGAGUUCAGACCGG